rnacentral:sRNA from 1 species
UGACUGAUGCUUCGUUGUACGAGAUAUU